AACCCUUAUCAUUAGUUGCUACGCAAGGGCACUCUAAUGAGACUGCCGGUGACAAACCGGAGGAAGGUGGGGAUGACGUCAAGUCCUCAUGGCCCUUAUGGGUAGGGCUUCACACGUCAUACAAUGGUCGGUACAGAGGGUUGCCAAGCCGCGAGGUGGAGCCAAUCCCAGAAAGCCGAUCGUAGUCCGGAUUGUUCUCUGCAACUCGAGAGCAUGAAGUCGGAAUCGCUAGUAAUCGCGGAUCAGCAUGCCGCGGUGAAUACGUUCCCGGGUCUU
rnacentral:rRNA from 1 species